rnacentral:miRNA from 2 species
UCGAAUCGUCACUCUUGAUGCUC